UCAUCAUCACUAUCAUCAUCAUCAAUCAUUAUAUUCUACUUUUGCACGUACUUUCGUAGAGAAAAUUCACCACAACCAAACAUAUUCUCAUUUCUACACCUACAUAAAACUAAAAAUACACCUUCAUCCAAACAUAUUCCCAUUUUCUACACAAAAACCAAUAAUCUACUUUUUCCAUCAGAAAUUUUGAAAACUAGAAAUUCAUUUUGGAAACAUAACCAAACAUCCCCUAUG
rnacentral:lncRNA from 1 species